CGCAAUGCCGCACUGAUGUGGGUACAGAUCCAAGGCCUGUUUAAGGAUAUUACGGAUUAUUUUUACAAUAAUGUACGGAAUAUUACGGUCAAUACGGCGUACAGGACAGGCAUAUCUCCAAAUGUCUGAGUUUGAGCUAAUAUCCCCUUGGGAAGAUGGGUUAUAUGGCUAAAUUGAGCAGA
rnacentral:ribozyme from 1 species